UCUGACGCCUGCCCGGUGCUGGAAGGUUAAGAGGACCGGUUAGCCGCAAGGCGAAGCUGAGAAUUUAAGCCCCAGUAAACGGCGGUGGUAACUAUAACCAUCCUAAGGUAGCGAAAUUCCUUGUCGGGUAAGUUCCGACCUGCACGAAUGGCGUAACGACUUCCCAACUGUCUCAACCGCGAACUCGGCGAAAUUGCAUUACGAGUAAAGAUGCUCGUUACGCGCAGCAGGACGGAAAGACCCCGUGACCUUUACUACAGCUUGGUAUUGGUGUUCGGUGUGGCUUGUGUAGGAUAGGUGGGAGACUUUGAAGCGGUGACGCCAGUUACCGUGGAGUCAUUGUUGAAAUACCACUCUGGUCACUCUGGAUAUCUAACUUCGAACCGUAAUCCGGUUCAGGGACAGUGCCUGGUGGGUAGUUUAACUGGGGCGGUUGCCUCCCAAAAAGUAACGGAGGCGCCCAAAGGUUCCCUCAACCUGGUUGGCAAUCAGGUGUCGAGUGUAAGUGCACAAGGGAGCUUGACUGUGAGACUGACAGGUCGAGCAGGGACGAAAGUCGGGACUAGUGAUCCGGCAGUGGCUUGUGGAAGCGCUGUCGCUCAACGGAUAAAAGGUACCUCGGGGAUAACAGGCUGAUCUUGCCCAAGAGUCCAUAUCGACGGCAUGGUUUGGCACCUCGAUGUCGGCUCGUCGCAUCCUGGGGCUGGAGUAGGUCCCAAGGGUUGGGCUGUUCGCCCAUUAAAGCGGUACGCGAGCUGGGUUUAGAACGUCGUGAGACAGUUCGGUCCCUAUCUACCGUGGGCGCUGGAAAUUUGAGAGGAUCUGCUCCUAGUACGAGAGGACCAGAGUGGACGAACCUCUGGUGUACCGGUUGUGACGCCAGUCGCAUCGCCGGGUAGCUAUGUUCGGAAGGGAUAACCGCUGAAAGCAUCUAAGCGGGAAGCCUACCUCAAGAUAAGAUUUCCCUAGGACUUUAUGUCCUCUAAAGAGCCGUUCGAGACUAGGACGUUGAUAGGUUGGAUGUGGAAGCAUAGUGAUAUGUGAAGCUGACCAAUACUAAUUGCUCGUGAGGCUUGACUAU
rnacentral:rRNA from 1 species